GGAUUGUUAGCUUAACCGGCAAAGCAUCCGGCUCUUAACCGGAAGGAUAUUGGUUCAACGCCAAUACGAUCCACCA
rnacentral:tRNA from 1 species